AUACGCAAAAGACUCGAGGUCAGGCCCAAACCCUCAAUGCUAAGACACGAAGGUACUGUAGAAUUUACUCAAUGCUAUGACACGAAGGUACUGUAGAAUUUACUCAAUGCUAUGACACGAAGGUACUGUAGAAUUUACUCAAUGCUAUGACACAAUGGUUCUGUAGAAUUUACCCAAUGCUAUGACACGAAGGUACUGUAGAAUUUACUCAAUGCUAUGACACGAAUGUACUGUAGAAUUUACUCAAUGCUAUGACACGAAGGUACUGUAGAAUUUACUCAAUGCUAUGACACAAUGGUUCUGUAGAAUUUACUCAAUGCUAUGACACGAAGGUACUGUAGAAUUUACUCAAUGCUAUGACACGAAGGUACUGUAGAAUUUACUCAAUGCUAUGACACGAAGGUACUGUAGAAUUUACUCAAUGCUAUGACACAAUGGUUCUGUAGAAUUUACUCAAUGCUAUGACACGAAGGUACUGUAGAAUUUACUCAAUGCUAUGACACGAAGGUACUGUAGAAUUUACUCAAUGCUAUGACACGAAGGUACUGUAGAAUUUACUCAAUGCUAUGACACAAUGGUUCUGUAGAAUUUACUCAAUGCUAUGACACAAUGGUUCUGUAGAAUUUACUCAAUGCUAUGACACAAUGGUACUGUAGAAUUUACUCAAUGCUAUGACACAAUGGUUCUGUAGAAUUUACUCAAUGCUAUGACACAAUGGUUCUGUAGAAUUUACUCAAUGCUAUGACAUAAUGGUUCUGUAGAAUUUACUCAAUUCUAUGACACAAUGGUUCUGUAGAAUUUACUCAAUGCUAUGACAUAAUGGUACUGUAGAAUUUACUCAAUGCUAUGACACGACGGUACUGUAGAAUUUACUCAAUGCUAUGACACGACGGUACUGUAGAAUUUACUCAAUGCUAUGACAUAAUGGUACUGUAGAAUUUACUCAAUGCUAUGACACAAUGGUACUGUAGAAUUUACUCAAUGCUAUGACACGACGGUACUGUAGAAUUUACUCAAUGCUAUGACACAAUGGUGCUGUAGAAUUUACUCAAUGCUAUGACACGACGGUACUGUAGAAUGUACUCAAUGCUAUGACAUAAUGGUACUGUAGAAUUUACUCAAUGCUAUGACACAAUGGUACUGUAGAAUUUACUCAAUGCUAUGACACGAAGGUACUGUAGAAUUUACUCAAUGCUAUGACACGAAGGUACUGUAGAAUUUACUCAAUGCUAUGACACAAUGGUACUGUAGAAUUUACUCAAUGCUAUGACACAAUGGUACUGUAGAAUUUACUCAAUGCUAUGACGGUACUGUAGAAUUUACUCAAUGCUAUGACACGACGGUACUGUACUUGAUUUGACAGUGCAUGAAAGGAAAAUGAA